CGAGAGUAGAGGCCAACCGUAACAAAACCGACUCCGAAGGAAACAGAUGACAAUGACUGGGAGCGUCCGAUGCUGCCUGACUUGCUGAGUUCCUCCAGCAUUUUGUGUGUGCUGUACAUGGAGUAGUUUGGCUGCCUUGAGGAAUCUGGUGUCAGGCUGGACAAUAGAGGCCUAGUCCACUCAACAGACAAAAUGCUGGAGGAAUGAAUAACUUCACUCAACUUGACUGCCCCAUCACCGAUCUAUUCCCACAACCUAUGGACUCACUUUCAAGGAUUCUUCAUCUCAAGUUCUUGAUGCUGCAUGGCAAGCUGAGCUCCUCCAGCAUUUUGUGUGUGUUGCCCAAGAUUUUCAGCAUCUGCAGAAUCUCUUCUCAAUAUGGAGGAUGAGAAUGCACGGUGGUUUUUCCUGAAGACUUACAAAAUGUCAUAUUGACUGCAUAAGAAUAACCUGGCAUGCAGAGAUUAAAGACAUAAACACAGAGAAGAGCAUCCUGUCACCAAAAUCCAAAGCACAUAGAACAGUUGUUUGAUUAUUUACGUUAACAUUGGGUAUUUACUGAGUGGAAGUCAUUUAUAAUGGGAAUAGAGAUUAAUUUGGCACAGUGUUACUGAAUAUCAUCAGCAAGUAAAAUCAGAAAUUAUGAUAUAUGUAUACAUUGAACAUCACAUUCUUAAAUUUAUUUGGCCAUUCGCAAUCAAAUGAAAUCCCUUGGAAAAUUUAAUGAUAUUAAAGCAUUGACAAAUAAGUCAACAACAACCUUACACUCAACGUCAGUAAGACCAAGGGUUGAUUGUGGACUUCAUGAAGGAGAAGAUGGGAGACCUCACACCAAUCAUCAGCAAUGGUCAGCAGUCAUCAUCAGUG